rnacentral:rRNA from 1 species
CCCUUCCUACGGGAGGCAGCAGUUAGGAAUCUUCCACAAUGGGCGCAAGCCUGAUGGAGCGACGCCGCGUGAGGGAUGAAGGUUUUCGGAUCGUAAACCUCUGAAUCUGGGACGAAAGACGCGUAAGCGGGAUGACGGUACCAGAGUAAUAGCACCGGCUAACUCCGUGCCAGCAGCCGCGGUAAUACGGAGGGUGCAAGCGUUACCCGGAAUCACUGGGCGUAAAGGGCGUGUAGGCGGUUAUUUAAGUCUGGUUUUAAAGACCGGGGCUCAACCCCGGGGAUGGACUGGAGACUGGAUGACUAGACCUCUGGAGAGGCAAUCGGAAUUCCUGGCGUAGCGGUGGAAUGCGUAGAUAC